UUUCCAUAACUUCUUUUCUCGGUAAAGGCGCUGCAUUACCACAACCAUGAUCAACCCACAGAAGCUGUACACAUCUUUUACACAAAUGAUGCUGGGUUCUUUUGAAGACCCUGACCUGGAGUUAUAUGCUGACUUCAGUUCUUUGCGGGAAUGGGACCCACUCUCAGGGUUUCAUAACUGGCCGUUGUUCAGCAUACCAAGGGUUCAGCCUAGGAGUCCAGCUCAGAUUUGGAUGCCUAGGAUCUUGGGGCUCUGGAGACGGGUCGAAUGAGGGUCGGUGUCACGGCAGAAGACCCGUGUGUCAUCAGGGAAGUUGAAAUACCUACAGCUGUGUGCCUGGAGACUCGAGAUCUUUAGGCACAGAACUUGAAAAAAGUAACGUAAGGGACUUUUAACAUCGUAAACCAGCGAGUUGUUUGUUAUGUCUCCCCGCUUGCUGGGAAAACAGAGACACCUCCUUCUCCCUUAUUAGGGAGAGAGAGAGAGAGCCUGUGGUAUGUCAUAUACUGGGUGAAAUGCAAAGUCUUUGAGGCAACUGCAAGUCUGUAUCCUUGCUAUUGCUUUACUCAUGCUUGAGUGCUCAGUGGCGGGUGCCGAUGCUUUUUUUUGCUGGUGGGGGAGGGGGGGGGGAAUUGUUGCUUUCUGCCAUUUAUGCAUGGGAGGGCAGCUGUGGGGGAGGGGACUUCGGAGUUCUAACAUUUAACUGUCAAUUCUUUGGGGCACUCCUCUAUUUUCAUUGAUGGUUGCGAAGAAAAAGCAUUUCAGGAUGUAUAUUGUAUACAUUUCUCUGACAUUAUAUUGCACCUUUGAACCUUUGAACAGAUCACAAUUUCAUGAUGAAUUGCUCCAUCAGUGGGAUUCACCCUCAAAAUUCCAAUCAUGAAUCACGCUUUUGAAGAUGAUGAGUCAAAUUCUCCAGUAGAUCCCCUCUAAUUCUUCAUCUGCAUUCCUUCCAGACCUCCCAUAAAUCUCAUGGAGUACAUAAGGACGCCCCUAUCUUGUAGCAUGUUUUAGCACUUAAAAUAUUGAACUCAAAUAUACUUCAGAAAAAUUUUAGCUCCACCCAAACAGUAAUGGUAUCCCAAUGGUAUCUUGCUUUGUGUGGGCACGAUGUGUGCUCCUGUGCUGGAAGCCUGUUGGAAACCCCUGCCCUAGAAGCCUGUUUUACGUAACUAUUACAAAUGUCUUCCAGAAAUUUACAAAUAUAGACAUAAUCUACAGCCUUCACCAUCUUCUAGUCACUGUCAGCUCUUUAAAGUAGUAUAAUGUUUAUAAAGCUCACUUUCCUUCCUCAAAUAUGUUGCUGACAGUCUUGAGAAAAGGGAGGUUACAAUGAAAAUAAGGAGAGGGCAAAUGGAACUGAUGUCAUUACCCUUCUGGGAUCUGGCAUGGACCCAAUAAAAGAAAAAAAAGUUGACCCUUUAAAUCCAUUUGUUGAUUUUCUCAUUACCUAUACUCCAUAAUAUAAUCUGAAUGAGUAUAACCUAUGGCAAUGACACAACUGCCCUCUUAUUUCUAUGUCAAGUGUCUGUAGACAAAACGCAAAUAUUUGAAAUAGGAGUCAGAACAAUUUGAUGAUAAUCAUUCCUAAGUUCAGAUCACAUAUGUUCACAGAGAGAAUAGUAACAAAAUUGCUGUAGUUCUCAACUGCUUUGAAGUUUAUUAGAUUAUUUUAUCUCAUUCCCCAAAAAAUAUGAAAAUACCAAAAUAGUUACCAGCUUUGUGGAAUUAUUCCUGUUUUUCUCCAUUUAAUUUCAAUUAUUUAACAAAAAUACUAAAGUUGUCUCUAAAUUAAUUUAGCUGAAUGCAGUCUGCGGUGUUGCAUGCUUGUCUUCAAAUCUGACAUUCUUUAUUUUGUAUUUUAGUUGCCCUAGUGUUCUUUUGGACUUCUUCCACAAUCAUAAUUUCCUUUUAAUAACCUCACCAGUGAAAUAAAAAGCAAUUUAUUCAGAA